GACGAACGCUGGCGGCGUGCUUAACACAUGCAAGUCGAACGAAGAGCGACGGAAGCUUGCUUCUAUCAAUCUUAGUGGCGAACGGGUGAGUAACGCGUAAUCAACCUGCCCUUCAGAGGGGGACAACAGUUGGAAACGACUGCUAAUACCGCAUACGAUCUAAUCUCGGCAUCGAGGAUGGAUGAAAGGUGGCCUCUACAUGUAAGCUAUCACUGAAGGAGGGGAUUGCGUCUGAUUAGCUAGUUGGAGGGGUAACGGCCCACCAAGGCGAUGAUCAGUAGCCGGUCUGAGAGGAUGAACGGCCACAUUGGGACUGAGACACGGCCCAGACUCCUACGGGAGGCAACAGUGGGGAAUCUUCCGCAAUGGACGAAAGUCUGACGGAGCAACGCCGCGUGAGUGAUGACGGCCUUCGGGUUGUAAAGCUCUGUUAAUCGGGACGAAAGGCCUUCUUGCGAAUAGUGAGAAGGAUUGACGGUACCGGAAUAGAAAGCCACGGCUAACUACGUG
rnacentral:rRNA from 1 species